GCCAGACUCCUACGGGAGGCAGCAGUGGGGAAUAUUGCACAAUGGGGGAAACCCUGAUGCAGCGACGCCGCGUGAGCGAUGAAGUAUUUCGGUAUGUAAAGCUCUAUCAGCAGGGAAGAAAAUGACGGUACCUGACUAAGAAGCCCCGGCUAACUACGUGCCAGCAGCCGCGGUAAUACGUAGGGGGCAAGCGUUAUCCGGAUUUACUGGGUGUAAAGGGAGCGUAGACGGCCAUUCAAGCCAGAUGUGAAAGCCCGGGGCUCAACCGCGGGACUGCUUUGGAAACUGUUAAGCUGGAGUGCAGGAGAGGUAAGUGGAAUUCCUAGUGUAGCGGUGAAAUGCGUAGAUAUUAGGAGGAACACCAGUGGCGAAGGCGGCUUACUGGACUGUAACUGACGUUGAGGCUCGAAAGCGUGGGGAGCAAACAGGAUUAGAUACCCCAGUAUC
rnacentral:rRNA from 1 species